GCGUUGGUUACAUGUAUUGUCCCUUCUGUUAUCUCUAAUGGCAAUAUUGGUGAUUCUCACAUUGUAAUGGGUGGGCGUUCUUCGAUUUUUCCUGCAGAAAAUGUCCGUGGAUGCAUUGUUAGGUGACAAGUUGCUGUGGGUUGUACGAUUUCCAUCUCUCAUCAGUUGAAAUUUUCACCUGGAAUACCGGUGGCAUACGUGUUGUUAAAUUUGGUCAGGCAGCUUGGAAGCAGAUACAAAUAAGAAAUGUUCCCUUGCUUUGGUUGGAUGGGUGUAGGAGCAGCAAGCAUCGCCGCCACACGGAAAACUCCAGUAACUUCUUGCCCCUUCCAGCCUCGGUGAGA